GACGUAGGGCGCGAGCGUUGUCCGGAUUUACUGGGCGUAAAGGGCGCGUAGGCGGCCACCGCAAGUCAGUUGUGAAAUCUCUGGGCUUAACCCAGAACGGUCAGCUGAUACUGCGGGGCUAGAGUGCAGAAGGGGCAACUGGAAUUCUCGGUGGAGCGGUGAAAUGCGUAGAGAUCCGGAGGAACACCGACGGCGUAGGCAGCGCCCUGGACGACACCUGACGCUGAGGCACGAAAGCUGGGGGAGCGAACAGG
rnacentral:rRNA from 1 species